rnacentral:snRNA from 1 species
UCUGAGUAAUCUCCUUGUU